UACGUAGGGUGCAAGCGUUAAUCGGAAUUACUGGGCGUAAAGCGUGCGCAGGCGGUUAUGCAAGACAGAGGUGAAAUCCCCGGGCUCAACCUGGGAACUGCCUUUGUGACUGCAUAGCUAGAGUGCGGCAGAGGGGGAUGGAAUUCCGCGUGUAGCAGUGAAAUGCGUAGAUAUGCGGAGGAACACCGAUGGCGAAGGCAAUCCCCUGGGCCUGCACUGACGCUGAGGCGCGACAGCGUGGGGAGCAAACAGG
rnacentral:rRNA from 1 species